rnacentral:rRNA from 1 species
GAUGAACGUUGGCGGCGUGCCUAAUACAUGCAAGUCGAACGCGAAGCUUGGAUUCGUCUAGGCGGAGAGUGGCGGACGGGUGAGUAACACAUGGCUGACCUGCCCUUCAGCGGGGGACAACCACUGGAAACGGUGGCUAAUACCCCAUAUGCUCACGGUGAUUAGAAAACUGUGAGGAAAAUUCCGGUGCUGAAGGAGGGGGCUGUGGCCCAUCAGCUAGUUGGUGAGGUAACGGCUCACCAAGGCGAGGACGGGUAGGGGGCCUGAGAGGGUGACCCCCCACACGGGUACUGAGAAACGGACCCGACACCUACGGGUGGCUG